AGCAAGAGCAAGAGAGAGGCCAAAACAGACCCCGCCGCGAGUCCAUAUUUCUACCUUUUACCCGUGUUUAACGCCGCCAAGAUGAGCGAGAUGAGUGCCGUGGUGGAGAAGCCACUCCGCGCCGUCUGUGCUCUGAAGAACGAAGGAAGAACAGAAGAAAGGAAGGAAGGAAGGCCAUCUUGGAAGACUCAAGAACCAGUCACCCCAGUCCAAGGAAAGGUCGCAAGAGGUCAAGGAGGUCACAGUAGGAAGGAGCAGUCCAGUCCGUUGUAAAGUUAUUGGAAAAGGAAGGAAAGGAUAGGGAAGGGAAGGGAAGGAAAGGAUAGGGAAGGGAAGGGAAGGAACAGAGAAGUGUAUAAUUAUAUAGUUAAGCUUAAAGUCACAUACAGUCAGAUACAUACAGUUACACUCACAUAGAUUUACAUACAGUUUUGAUGGUGCGUUUGACAAAGGCGGUUGACUCAGUGGGUAGCGGAUUGGCCCGCCCCAUGGUGUUAUGGACGCUCUCAACACAAGUACAGUAAACCCUCGAUAUAACAGACUAAUUUAUUUAUUUAUUUAUUUAUUUAUUUAUUUUUUUUUUUCACAUCAGAGGACACGUCUCAAGGGCAAUAAAGAGUCCCAAAAAAAGCCCGCUGCUCGCCGCUCCUGUAAAAGAUAAGAGUAAAGAGUAGCCAAAAGAGCGGUCAAUUUCGGGUGGAGAGGUGUCUUGAUACACACUCAAUUUGGGGGGAACUUAGUCCGUUAUAAGCGGCGAAGAUUUAAAAAAAACGUAAAAUAAUAAAACGACGAAGGAGUAAACGUAGGUAUAGAUAUAUUUUUUAUUGUGUAUGUUGUGUGCACGUUGCGUUGUCUAUAGGGCCGCACAGCACACUUGGCGACGCACUCCGAGGCACUGAGGUUGCUAGGUUGUGAGUGGGGUCUUGCGUGGGGGUCAUAUUGUUACGGGUAUGGGUAUGAUUUUACAAGUGCAGCGAGUAGCAGGCUUUUUUUUUAUUAUUGUUUACUUUUUGUGUGCCCUUGAGCUGUCUCCUCUG